AUGGUGGAGGGCCAUGAAGAUGAUAGGCUCAGCAAGUUGCCUGAUGACCUUUUGCUCAACAUUGUCGAGCGACUUGAUAUUGCUGACGCCGCACGAACCACCAUCCUCUCCAGACGUUGGAAGGACGUCCUUGCUAGACUCUCAAAAGUCGUAAUAAGGGCAGGUUCUUUUGAGUCCAAGCAUACAACGAGCAAGAAAGAUGAUAUAGUUCGGUCCAACACCACCAUUCUGGAUGCAACCCGGAGCAUACUGGAAAGGAGGGCUGGAAGUCUAUACACCAUUCAGCUGUUGUGCAUGCAAUUCUACUUGGGAGAUGAGUCCAUUUUCAUUGGCCAGACUGUUGCCAACAGCAUAGCAACACAAAAGGUUGCUUCAGUUGACUUUACAAUCUUGACGAAGGUGCGUAGAAAUUGUACCAAGGAUGAGCUGCUCACAAAUGGGAGGCAGUUCAUGUCAUUCUUUGAUUCAUGUCCAAACACAUUUGGUUGUCUUGCACGCCUCACGCUAGAGAAUUUGAGGUUAGGAGAAUCGGCGUUCCCCAAAUUUUUUAGUAUAUGCAAGCAACUGGAGUUCCUCUUCCUCCACAAUUGUGACAUGGGUAUUCAGUCUUUGCUGGAAGUGGAACACCCUCAGCUCAGUGAACUAGUGAUUGCCAGCGGCUGCUUUAAGAGGGUUCAUCUGAAGUGGGCACCAAAGCUCACAAUACUGAAAUUUAGUAUUUUUAGAUCAAAAGAUGAUCCCUUCUGUCUUGGCUAUGUCCCACUGCUCCAGACUGUGAGCAUCAUUAAUACUGCUCUCUCUUGGCACAAGAUGCUCAAGUUAAGUGAGUUGCUUGGUAAGACUGCCAUAAGCAACCUGCAUUUGAACUUCAGAAGCGAAAAGAUUUGGGUCAAACCGGAAGGUCGAAGGCAAUUGUUACCUGUGUUCCACAAACUUAGGAUUGUGAAUUUGCUUAACAUUCCUGAAGAAUGCGAUCUGACUUGGACAAUGUUCCUACUCCAAGGUGCACCCAACCUUAAGGAACUACGCAUCGUGGUGCGGGAUCAUUUAUGUUUAAUGGUAACAGGGGAGGAGAGGAAGAAUGGUGCAUUUAGUGAGGAGAAGGACAAGGGACUGGAGUUGGAACCAUCUGCAUCUGAUUUCAAGCACCACAACCUCGCUGGGCUCAGUAUCUAUGGGAGGUUUCAAGCAGAAGACAAACUCGUGAGCUAUGCCAGGAGCAUCAUGCAAGCAGCAGUGAAUCUGGAGGACAUAAAGCUAUACAAGAGUCCAGUGUGUCAAAGGUGCAAGCACAUGCGCCAGGAGUGGACAUUGGAGGAGAAGUCAUCGCUUAGCUACAAAAUAAAAGAGGGGAUGCCCUCGCUUGUCCGGAUUCACUUCCCGAGUUUAGGGGAAGUCUAUUUUUAG
rnacentral:rRNA from 1 species